rnacentral:rRNA from 1 species
UACAGAGGGUGCGAGCGUUAAUCGGAAUUACUGGGCGUAAAGCGCACGUAGGUGGCGACGUAAGUCGGGUGUGAAAGCCCCGGGCUCAACCUGGGAAUUGCAUUCGAGACUGCAUUGCUGGAGUACGGAAGAGGAGGGCGGAAUUCCCAGUGUAGAGGUGAAAUUCGUAGAUAUUGGGAAGAACACCGAUGGCGAAGGCAGCCAUCUGGACCGACACUGACGCUGAGGCGCGAAAGCGUGGGGAGCAAACAGG